GUGGGGAAUAUUGGACAAUGGGCGCAAGCCUGAUCCAGCCAUGCCGCGUGAGUGAUGAAGGCCCUAGGGUUGUAAAGCUCUUUCACCGAUGAAGAUAAUGACGGUAGUCGGAGAAGAAGCCCCGGCUAACUUCGUGCCAGCAGCCGCGGUAAUACGAAGGGGGCUAGCGUUGUUCGGAAUUACUGGGCGUAAAGCGCACGUAGGCGGAUAUUUAAGUCAGGGGUGAAAUCCCAGAGCUCAACUCUGGAACUGCCUUUGAUACUGGGUAUCUCGAGUAUGGAAGAGGUGAGUGGAAUUCCGAGUGUAGAGGUGAAAGUCGUAGAUAUUCGGAGGAACACCAGUGGCGAAGGCGGCUCACUGGUCCAUUACUGACGCUGAGGUGCGAAAGCGUGGGGAGCAAACAGGAUUAGAUACCCGUGUAGUCC
rnacentral:rRNA from 1 species